rnacentral:rRNA from 1 species
UACAGAGGGUGCUAACGUUGUUCGGAAUUACUGGGCUUAAAGCGCACGUAGGCGGCUAGGCAAGUGCGAUGUGAAAGCCCCCGGCCCAACCGGGGAACUGCAUCGUAGACUGCCUGGCUUGAGAGCGGUAGGGGAGACUAGAACUCCUGGUGGAGCGGUGAAAUGCGCAGAUAUCAGGAGGAACACCGGUGGCGAAGGCGGAUCUCUGGGCCAUUACUGACGCUGAGGAGCGAAAGCGUGGGGAGCGAACAGG